rnacentral:rRNA from 1 species
AGUGAACGCUGGCGGUAGGCCUAACACAUGCAAGUCGAACGGCAGCACAGUAAGAGCUUGCUCUUACGGGUGGCGAGUGGCGGACGGGUGAGGAAUACAUCGGAAUCUACUUUUUCGUGGGGGAUAACGUAGGGAAACUUACGCUAAUACCGCAUACGACCUACGGGUGAAAGCAGGGGAUCUUCGGACCUUGCGCGAUUGAAUGAGCCGAUGUCGGAUUAGCUAGUUGGCGGGGUAAAGGCCCACCAAGGCGACGAUCCGUAGCUGGUCUGAGAGGAUGAUCAGCCACACUGGAACUGAGACACGGUCCAGACUCCUACGGGAGGCAGCAGUGGGGAAUAUUAGACAAUGGGCGGAAGCCUGAUCCAACCAUACCGCGUGGGUGAAGAAGGCCUUCGGGUUGUAAAGCCCUUUUGUUGGGAAAGAAAAGCAGCAGGUUAAUACCCCGCUGUUCUGACGGUACCCAAAGAAUAAGCACCGGCUAACUUCGUG